rnacentral:rRNA from 13 species
GCGGAGCCAGAUCGAAAGCGAGUCCUGCAACGAGGGCGCAUGAGUUCCCGGGGGUAGACCCGAAACCAGGGCGAUCUACCCAUGAGCAGGGUGAAGCUGAGGUAACACUUAGUGGAGGCCCGAACCGGUGUGGGUUGAAAACCGCUCGGAUGACUUGUGGGUAGGGGUGAAAGGCCAAUCAAGCCUGGAGAUAGCUGGUUCUCCCCGAAAUCUAUUGAGGUAGAGCCUCGCGGACGUCCCGCAAGGGACUUGUCGACAGGGGGUAGAGCGACUGGAUGGGCGCGGG